GUGAACGCUGGCGGUAGGCCUAACACAUGCAAGUCGAACGGCAGCACAGUAAGAGCUUGCUCUUACGGGUGGCGAGUGGCGGACGAGUGAGGAAUACAUCGGAAUCUACUUUUUCGUGGGGGAUAACGUAGGGAAACUUACGCUAAUACCGCAUACGACCUACGGGUGAAAGCAGGGGAUCUUCGGACCUUGCGCGAUUGAAUGAGCCGAUGUCGGAUUAGCUAGUUGGCGGGGUAAAGGCCUACCAAGGCGACGAUCCGUAGCUGGUCUGAGAGGAUGAUCAGCCACACUGGAACUGAGACACGGUCCAGACUCCUACGGGAGGCAGCAGUGGGGAAUAUUGGACAAUGGGCGCAAGCCUGAUCCAGCCAUACCGCGUGGGUGAAGAAGGCCUUCGGGUUGUAAAGCCCUUUUGUUGGGAAAGAAAAGCAGCAGGUUAAUACCCCGCUGUUCUGACGGUACCCAAAGAAUAAGCACCGGCUAACUUCGUG
rnacentral:rRNA from 1 species